GUGCCCACUUUGGUAGCACCUAAACUAAAACUGGAAUGAUCUAGAGAAGAUGAGCAUGGCCCCUGCAUGAGAUGACCCCCCAAUCUGCGAAGCGUUCCAGUAAAAA